AGCGAACGCUGGCGGCAGGCUUAACACAUGCAAGUCGAGCGGGCAUCUUCGGAUGUCAGCGGCAGACGGGUGAGUAACACGUGGGAACGUACCCUUCGGUUCGGAACAACUCUGGGAAACUGGAGCUAAUACCGGAUACGCCCUUAUGGGGAAAGGUUUACUGCCGAAGGAUCGGCCCGCGUCUGAUUAGCGAGUUGGUGGGGUAACGGCCUACCAAGGCGACGAUCAGUAGCUGGUCUGAGAGGAUGAUCAGCCACACUGGGACUGAGACACGGCCCAGACUCCUACGGGAGGCAGCAGUGGGGAAUAUUGGACAAGGGGCGCAAGCCUGAUCCAGCCAUGCCGCGGGAGUGAUGAAGGCCUUAGGGUUGUAAAGCUCUUUUGUCCGGGACGAUAAUGACGGUACCGGAAGAAUAAGCCCCGGCUAACUUCGUG
rnacentral:rRNA from 1 species